rnacentral:rRNA from 1 species
GAUGAACGCUGGCGGUAUGCCUAACACAUGCAAGUCGUACGAGAGUUUUUAACUCUAGUGGCGGACGGGUGAGUAACACGUGAGAAUUUGCCUUUAGGAGGGGGACAACAAUUGGAAACGAAUGCUAAUACCCCAUAUGCUUUCGAGUGAAAUGGAUUUUAUCCGCCUAGAGAGAAGCUCGCGGCUGAUUAGCUUGUUGGUAAGGUAAGAGCUUACCAAGGCGACGAUCAGUAUCUGGUUUGAGAGGACGAUCAGACACACUGGAACUGAGACACGGUCCAGACUCCUACGGGAGGCAGCAGUGGGGAAUUUUCCGCAAUGGGCGAAAGCCUGACGGAGCAAUACCGCGUGAGGGAAGAAUGCCUAUGGGUUGUAAACCUCUUUUUCAGGGUAGGAAUAAAAUAGACGUGUACCUGAAGAAUAAGACACCGGCUAACUACGUG